rnacentral:lncRNA from 1 species
GAGCAGGUCAGGUAACGGAGCUUUGAGCCUCUGAAAGGGCAUCUGGAUAUUUGGGAGGGUAUAAGUAGCUUUGUAGAAGCAUCAUCUCUGAAAGCCAGGAUGAUGAUGCCAUUCUUCCCUGAGCUGUAGGAGGAGAUCAGGCUGUCGUCUCGCAUGGAGUUCCCCCAUUCUCACUUCUUGGCUCUAGUCACUUCUUGGCUCUUGGUAGUUUGUUGUUCCUUUCAGGUAGGCAAGAGGGUUUGGUUGUUGUGAUGUUGAUCUCCUUUGUGUUCGCCGGGGAGAUGGCGUUUGCAUCUCAUCUUGCUGCUGCUGCGUGUUGAUGCAGUUUGAUUGUAUGCGUUGUAUCCAGGCAAAUAAAUCUUUGAUGAGCUUAUUUCUGUCUCCUUUAAUAAAUCUCCUUUUUGUAGCGCGUGGAGUGCGUGGCCGGGUCGGCCAGCGUGUCUGUGUGCGGUCUUUUUAUUUGCGCCAUGAACAUUGUAACGGUUUUCGCUCGGUUUUUCCGUUUAAUUAACUGGCCAAUUUAUUUCUUCUUGAUCAAUGGAUUGAGUCUUCAGACUCCGGUUUGAAAAAAAAAAUCUUUGAUGACACAUGAAUGGUCGUGUUUCUUCUUUCGCUCUGUCUUUGACUGUAAAUCACCUCGGGAAAUACAAAUGUUCAACUUACAGACUGCUAUUCCGUUAUGCCACUAAUGGGCGUUUUGGAAACAAAAAGAUAUGUAAAUGUUCGACUCGAGAGAUGCAAUGUGUAUUUCUGGAUGGGCUCAUGAUUCUGGAGUCUGAACUUUAGGUUCAGGGGCAUCUCAUUGGAUAAGUUUCGGAUCCAGGACCGGUUUCUGAAUAAAAAACUCUAAUGCCAAGGAGCAGUUAAGACUUCAUGUUGGUUUAUUUUCCUAUAAUCUCGAUCAAACUUUAAGAAGGUGACUUCAUACAAAUCUAGAACUUAUUACGGAACGGAGGCAGCGAUAGAUUUAGAAAAAUUCAGAUGCACGAAUUGGGCUGCACCAAACAAGCGGCCCAGGCAAGUCUGGCGGCCUUGUUCCCUAGGGACGGCCCUGGUUAUGGACAGGGCGGCCCGCGUGGAGUACUCAUCCGCUACAGAUCAGCCGGCGGUGAGCGUCGCGCCGCCGCGCGUGCCAUACACGAACUGCCGCAGGACUCGGAGCAGCUCGUCGGCGGCCUUGCCCCACGGCUCGUAGACGAAGAAGGCGUGCCCCUGCCCAACAACAAACUCUGUUUUUCUAAAAAUACUCUGUUUUUUUUAAAAAAAAACAAGUAGGAGCUGUACUUCUGUACCUAAUAAUAAAAGCAGUAGUUGGUUUUCGUCCGUUUUUUGGGCCGGCCUUUUCUUUCCGGGCCAAGUCCACCUCCUGCGCCUCCUUCCUCUCUCUGCAUCGCCAAGCCAACCAGCUUCCUGCCUCUCUGCAUUGACGGCGCCGACGACCGCAUCGUCGUCUGGAUUGCCAGGAUUGUUUCCGUCGUCCGUCCGCCUGGUACGUCCGCGAGCCACCCCGCACCCCUCAUCCGGUCCUCCCCCCUCCUCUCGCAUCCUCCGGUCGCGGUGUUCCAGCUGGCGUUGCAGACAGAGACGCAGUCGACGGACCGGCCGACGAUGCAUGAGGUGGUGCACGUCCUGUACUGCCUCGUGCAUCCCGACCCGCCGCCGAAGCUUAUGCAGCCGCCUCUGCUGUCGUCCUCCUCGCUGCAGCCAGCGGCCGUCCUGGAUCUGGAGGCACAGCGUCGCUGGAGCAGGAGGGCGCCGAGGUGGAUAAGGUGAGGGUUUGCAGUUUGGCUGUCCUAUGGUGCGGCAUAGGAACAUAGCUUAUUGUCAGCAUUUGACUUAUUUACAGCAACAUAGCAAGGUAUUGUCAGCAUUGCUCCUUUUACAUACUUAUACCUGAGGUGAAGAUUGAUACCACAACCACCUUUCUGGUGCAGCAUUGAUGAUAUAGAUGAGGCUGUUCUAGGACCUGGUAGAUUUGGGAAGAAGCAUUUUGUUCCUUUUACCUUGUGCUGAUGGGAAUGCACAUGCUGAGAAAAAAACUGUCUCUGACGGUGUUGAUUUGGAUGCACUUGCACGUCGAGAGGAGUGCAAUAAUCUCACAAUGCACACCUAGCUUUACUGGUUAUUCACUGUUUUUAAAUUGAAUGGCUGCUCUGUCUUAAUUUGCCGAAAUCUGAUAUUUUGCUUACUUGUGUAAUCUGUGGCCAGGAAAUCCUAAGACAUGAUUGAUAAUUGGUUCAAUCCACUAGAGUAAACUAAGCUUGUAUCGUUAUGUCAUUAUGGAUUGCACCGUUUUUGUCCUCUGUUAAUUAGCUGAAGUAUAAUAACUAGCAAGAAGUUUUCUUGAUCUCUGUUUGUUGCAUGGUGGUGUACUAUGUUAGUCUCAUGGUGUACUGUGGAGUGUUUGUUGCAUGGUGGUGUACUAUGUUAGCUCAUGGUGUACUGUUGGAGUAUAAUACCUAGGCCGUGGCAACGCAAGGGUAUCUUUACUAGUAAUGUCCGAUGGCCCAAUGCCCUCGAUAGUUCUCGACGUCCUUCCGUUGACAAGUCAGUAAUCUGCUUUUACUUGCACAAGCCAUUGCCACGAGGAGAGCGCAAAGCAGCACAGUACAGACUCCAGAGUCCAAGCAAGAAAUUUAGCACGACGAGGUCGAGAAUUCGAGAUCGAGAAAACCAUGGCAUCAAUGCCUCCAGCUCCCUCCUCUCAUCCGGACAACGCAGCGCCGGCAUGCCGCAGGUGCUCAGCGACGGCACAAUCGUCCGUCCCCCGCCGCCGCCCUUCUUUGGCUCCGCGACCAGCUACAAAAGAUCACAUAUUGGAACGACAGCACAGCUUUUUAAUCCUUGCGCAAGUCGAUGGGAAGGGCCAAAUAAAGAGAUCUGAACUUCAACCAUUCCUCGCCAGGCCCAAGAAUGUUGUAUGCUCUCUGCAGCAUGUCGUCACGCGCCAAGUCAGGCAUCUCAUGUAGCGUCGACGCCAACGCCUCUUCAGGGGAGGCCAUGGGCGUCAAGCCUGAUGAGCUUGGUUUCUUUGGUGCUCCAAGAGUAUCGUCUUCACGUCGCCAUUGCCUUUGGCUCGCCGCCGUACGUUCGUCGUGGGAGAAGGCGUUGAAAUGCGUUCGUCGUGGGAGGAGGCAGAGCUGGGCCUCCAUCGCCGCCCUUUCCCCUUCCUCCCCGUCGUCGUCGUCCCUGAAACAGCGAUCGAGCGCCGCCGCCAUCUUGUCUUGUUCGCGGCGCAGGAGCGUCGUGGAUCUCGAAUCCAUGUAGCGCUGCUCCUUCUUCUUCCGCCCCCACUGGUCCUCUCGCUCGGCGUGGUAGCAAGGGGGCAACAACGACAGCGACGGCGGCCGAGCGGGCGCUGUACACGAAGAAAUCGACCGUGCAGCCCAUGUCUGGAGGAGGACGGAGUCGCCGUGGGCCGCCAAGACGAGCGUUUCGACCUUGAUCCCGUGCGGGUAGUCGACGACAGCGCCGGCGGAGACCCGGGCGAGGUGGCCGCUGGAGACGCGGGCGUCGGGAUCAUCGCACCGCCGGUACUGCUCGAGCAGAAGCGGCCGGCCAAGGAUCGCCAUCGGGUGGUGGUUCCUGGUGAUCCGGUCGGGUUUUCAUGUCCCGCAGGUUCGAUUUGUUGGGGAUCGCGCCGUAUUUCUAUCGGCUCGCUCAUCUGAUUUGUUGGAGGAGAACGAGCCUAAUUUGCUGGGAAAUCGGUACGAGUACGAUCGAGUUUGUUGCCUUCCAGGCGAGGAAAAGGCGUGCUAAGUAGAGCUCUUAUUUAGGUGUAUUUUUUAGAAACAAAACAGAGUACUAUCUUUUUUGACAAUUAGAAAACAGAGUAUAUAUACUCGUACAUCCCAACUGCUAAAACCCCCAAUUUACGGACUCGUUUCUUUUUUGUUUACUAGAGUACCCUUUGUGAAGAAACCUAUAUUGCGUAUGCCUUGUUUGGUUUGAGCAGGCCCUGUUUGCUGCGGAAUGGAUAAACGAAUCCAGGUAUUGCAGGUUUGAAGUGAACUGAGCAAAUCAUGUUAUGGUAAGGAGGGAGGCCGAGGGGCGCGUGACGGUGCCGUCCUUUUUUUUGCGUAUGCCUUGUUGGUUUGAGCAGGUGACGGUGCUCGGUUCGAUCCGUGUAUGGUUACAACUUAGAACUGUUUGAAGGCUUGCGUUGGAACGCAGAUAUUUCACUGGAAUUCAACACAAAAGAGUUUAGUUUUAUGCUAGAGAGGAGAUCGUCGAGGGCGUGGCCAUUGAGCUGAUUAUUGAUUCUUGCCUUGAUUGCUGCGACUGAUUGUCCGACCGGAGAGCCAACGAAGGAUAGAGGCAGACGCAUUAUCGAGACGUCAGGCUAAACAGGCCUCCUCAAGCGCACCAACCUCGAAAUGGGGUUCCCUUCAGAAAAGGAAAAAAACCUCAAAAUGGGCCCUGAAAGGCCCAACUGAGCUUUAAUGAAGCUUUGCGAGCCUGCCGAGCCCAACCGUGUGAUCAAGUAACCCCAGGUAAGCAGGAUGUUGGAGUUGGAACUCUAAAAAAAAAAAGAUAAGCAGGAAUUUUGGCUCAUGUACUAUUGUGUAUACAUACAUACGCUGUCUUCAUUCUUCGACAUAGCGAGAGGGAUUGCCCUUCAACAUAUAUAUACAUGUACUUGUCUCGUCUGCUAGCUUAAUUAGUUAUUGCUGAUUCCCUGCCGACAUAUCCACCGUUUGUCUCUGAAGAGAUCUUCUAUAGCUACUCUAGUGACAUUGUCAAAUGGAAAAUGGAAAUCGGUGCAUGUCCUCAUUGGGUAACAUAUAUACUUACUCCCUUGCUAAGGUUCAACUCACUGGCAGUCUGGCAUGUGCACUGAUCACACGAGUAAUAUGGAAAUAGUUAAUCAAGAUUAAUUAGCCAAGUCAGCACUCUUACCUGUUGUUUUAAAGUAACACUUGCUUUGUCUUUACAUGGUACAAGUCAAAAGAAAUUGGACUCUGCUAGUCUAGGGACAAAGAAUCAAUCUUCAGUUCGUCACUUAGUGUGGAGUGUUGACCCAGGAGCAGAAUUGUCUUGACAUGAACAUUGCGUCCGGAUUGAGAAGUCAACCUCUACUAGUACUUACAGAGUUAUUUUACCUCAAGUUGUGGACAAACAAAUGUAAAUCGAAGGGACUAGGUGCGGCCACGAAGAUCACUGAAGAACAGGGUAAAUACGGAGGACACAAGUAUUCUAUAAAAAAAGAAUGUGGAGGACACCAGAUCCAUGUUACCCCUGCAAUUAAGAACUUUAUUUUCCCGAUAAAAAAAAGAACUAUUCCAGUAAAGAACUAAAUUGUUGGACCGUUGAUCCAGGAGCAGAAUUGUUGCAGUGAUUGCAAAAUAAAUAAAUUUUCUUCAUAUAUGUUAAUGUUACGGAGUACUAUUUGAUAACCUGCUCUUGACUUUUCUCUACUAGUAGUUACAGAGUUACAGUAUAACCGUGUGCAGAGGCUGAGGAGUUUUCUCCUUUUCUAUUUUUUUCCCCUCCAACCCAUAUUAAUUGUCGCAAAUUUAGUAAAAAGUUGUACUAAAUAAACGGCAAGUAAUAUGGGUCGGACGAAGUACAGUUAUUUCUCAGUUGUCUUAGAAAUAGCAAGACUGUAUAAAUAUUGUCACAUGGCAAUUCCUAAAAAGGAAAACAUUUUUUUUCUUUUCCAUUGCGGCAACGUCGCCAUUUUCCUCCGCCCAUGGCUCCAUUUCUGCCAGCAUUGCAACCUCUGUUGCCGAUGAGGCGAGGGUUCUUCCGGAAAAUAAUCUUAAGAGACCUGGUCUCUCGAGAGGCCCUCUGCAUGUUAUGCCAUGUGGACUGAUUAGCCUUUAAACAAAUCUCAAAGCAUCAGGAGUGAAAAAAUAAUAAUCAUGAUUAUAAUGCAGUGAAUUUCUCACGUGACACAAGAUGGACGCGGUCUUUCAGCUUGGACUUAUUUCUGUGCCACUUGGGCUUAGAGAGAUAUAGUGGCAUUUAUUAUCAAGAAGUAUACCAAAAUUUUUAUAAUAAAAUACACGCGAAAGAACAAGACACAAGAAGCUACAGAAGCUACUCGCUCCGGUUCACAAAAAAGCGCGAAAAAAGUGACGUUUGACACAUGUCUAUCCUCUUUGUCAACCUUUAAAACUUUGACUGUCGACAUCAUUAUAAAAGUUGAUUGAAGACUCAGAAAUCACAUGUACAGUAUAAACCUGUCUCAAAA